rnacentral:lncRNA from 10 species
UGGUCAGGCAUGGUGAUUCAUGCCUGUAAUCCCAGCACUUUGGGAAGCCGAGGCAGGCAGAUCACUUGAGGUUAGGAUUUUGAGACCAGCCUGGCCAACAUGGUGAAACCACAUCUCAACUAAAAAUACAAGUAUUAGCCAGGCGUGGUGGCACGCCCUCUAGUCCCAGCUACUUGGGAGGCUGAAGCAGGAGAAUCGCUUGAACCUGGGAGGCGGAGGUUGCAGUGAGCCAAGAUCGCUUCGCUGCACUGCAGCCUGGGUGACAGAGUGGAACUCCAUCUCUAAACAAACAAACAAACAAACAAACGAAAAUGCUACUGAUUUCUGCAGAGGAGUCCCUCCCUGUGUCCACCACCAUCACAAGCCCAGGGCAAGUACUGCUAGAGGGCUGCCUAUGAUCAGAUCUUCUGAGAACAUCAGAGAAAGACUGUCCUUGCAAUCUACACUACAGCAAGACUUCAGGACCUUGAACUUCAGGUUCAUAAUCUCACAACUGAGAAGGAUCCUUCCACACUCUUGGAACAGUGCACCCAUUGGAACUCUGAAGGUUAAGCUCACCAGGAAAGUUUCUCUCCAGAAGAAGAUAACACCCUUAAUGUGAACAGCUUUUCCCAAAAUCACGGAUUGAAACUUCUCUACACUCACGAGACUCUUAUCUUUGAAUAUUUUCCCUUGGUUAUGCUUCUGUGAACAAUAGACGUGAAAAGGGAGUCUGUUGUGUGCACUUAUGGGGCACACUUUUAUGUGUGAAGGAUUUUUCAGCCAGCCUUAUAUAUGGAUGACCUUAUAGUUUAAGAGAUAAAAGACAAAGACCCAAUGCAGGUAAGAAACUUUGGUGGUACAUAUGUUGCCUGAUAGUCAGUAAGAAACAGAACAUUGAUUCAUUCCUCUUAACCCACAUUAUGGGUUAAAGAGAACAUUGCCAGGAGGCCUUCACUCUUCUAGAAGGGCACAGCAUCAUUCAUUAGGUUCUUUUUCCAUGGUUUAAAGUAGAAGAGGCAAUGAUUAAAAAAUGUAUCCCUUAUGAUAGGCUCUAUAGCAGAUUCUACUGUAAAGGCUAUGAUUUCAAAAUAAAAUUUAAGUUAUGUAAAAUGUUGCUAAAUAAUGGAAUUGGCUAAACAGAAAAAUAUCUGUGCAGCUGCUGGCACUUAUGGCCUGUGGAGAAAACAUCGGGUAUUGUAGAGAUUCGGGUGUCGGAGAUUAACAAAGAGACCACCUAGUUAAGCGAGUAGACCCUUUAUCUAACUCAUUCUUUGAUCUAUUUGAUUUUAGGUGGUUUGGUUUAUGGGAACCCUGGGUAAGGAGCAUACUCCAAACUCUUGGUGUUAUCCUCUUGAUAGUCAUAAUAGUAGUCUUUCCGGUGCUCUACAUUCUCUCAAAUGUUUGCAUACAGCCAUCUCUAGAAAGUCAAAUGGUCUCUCUUCAAUUGAAAUCACAAGACCUGAAAGAAAUGUACAAUCAUGAGGACGCCAUACCCUAUAAAUGAUAUGCUGAGAACAGAAACUCAAAAUGAUGGUAACAGAGUGGCGCUAAGGCCCUAAGUUUUGAUCACACUCUCACCUAAGUGAGAACCUAGCCAAAAAGGAAGAAUUAAAAAAAUAUAUAUCAGAGGCUAUUGUUUUGGGCUGAGCUUAGGCACUAGACCCCAAAAGACCAAAUCAAACCAAAAUAAAUUCGCUUGUGUUAAAUGUCACAUAUUCAAACUAAGACUUUAAGAAAAUAUGUAGAUCCUAGAUCAGAAAAGGAAAAGUUGUGUUUUUCUCCUGAAAACAGGAUGUUCCAGCAUAAAGAGGUACCCUCUACUCAGUCCUCACUCCCAACUUACAUAACCUACUGUUUCAAGACCAAUGACAACAUCAUAACUAAAGUUUUGGUCAAUCUCUAAAAACUGAGAAAAUGACAAAAAGGGGGGAAUUGUUAAUCAAGUGUAGCCUCAAGCUGCCUCCUUACAUAUUUAAGUUGGCCUAAAGGUUUUUCUGUACAUGAUGAACUAUAACAGGUGGAGGCGUAAACCAAUCAUAGCCUACGCCUAUGCCAAUCACUGAGCUUUGGCCAAUCAAAUGUAGCCAACUGUUUGAACCAUGUUCAAAUAAGGCAAACCAAUCCAGCUGUUUCCGUACCUCACUUUGUAUUUUUGUACAUAAUUUCACUUUUUUUUUUUCUACAAAUCUUCUUCCCACCAUGUGGCUGUGUUGGAGUCUCUCUGAAUCUGCUGUGAUUCUGGGGACUGCCCAAUUUGUGAAUUGUUCAUUGCUCAAACUCCUUUAAAUUUAAUUCAGCUGAAGAUUUUUUUUUUAAUACCAAGAAGUUCAAGAAAGCACCCUAUGAAAUUAACAAUCUUCUUAAUCCAUAGAACGUGAAGAAGUCAGGGUAAUGGGUGCCAAUGAAAAACAAUUAUGUACUAUUUUGUAACUCUCCUCCUUCCCCAUUUCAGCCAAAGAUGGGGUCAGAUAGCCUCUUGCCAUUUGGAAAGAAGAUGAGCAAAAAUGUAGAAAAAGCAAACGCAACUCCUAUCCCCAACAUUGUCAGCACCAUUGCUGUAAACUGACAAAGAGAUGUGUCCCUAAAGUAAGCUACAUUUACCAUUAAUUCUUCACUCCCCCACGGAAGCAUUCUGGUCUAAUGAAUGCCAUCACGAACAUUUCUGAUCACUCCAAUCUUCCCAGGAAGAAUCCUCCUCCCUUCUAUUUUAUCUUUCAGACUGUUUAUCUCUGGCUCUUUACAGCGGAUCAUGUGACUCAAUCACUAACCUCUUAUGAACCCCCAAAUACUCCAGUUUGUAACUCAUGAUCAAACGAUCCUGUAACAUCUUUAGUCCCAUCUUUGAAAGUUUGUUUCCCCCCGCCACUACACUGCUUUUAAUGACUCUCUCAAGAAAAUACUAUUUUAUAUACACUCUACAUACAACCAUGUCUAGAAGCGAGGCAGUUGUUGUCCUUGUUCCAUGUAGCAUCUUUCUACCCCUUCCUAUAUAUGAGAAUAUAAUUCUCAUAUAUUCACUAAAUUACAUUUCCUCUGUAAUAAUAUCCCACUUUACAGUAUAACCUAUACUUUUCUUUCUACUUUUUAAAAUCAGUAUAAUAAUAACUGUAAUAUUUAUGGUCUUAAAGAAGAAAAAUCAGUCUUUUGAACCUAGAUUCUUUACCAGUUGGUUUCUUACUUUUAUGCUGUCUUCUAUGGUGAAACAACUUAAAUACUUAGUGUUUUGCUUUCUCUACUAUCUUAUUUCCCACUCUGUUUAAUAGUCAUAUCAGUCAAACUUUUGUCUCCACAG